CCCAAUAAAAUGCACUGGGGGGGCGGGGGGGGGCAACAGUGUGCAGUGCAAAGCAAAGCAAAGCAGAGCAAAGCAGAGCAGUGCAGUGCAAAGCAAAGCAGAGCAGAGCAGUGCAGUGCAAAGCAGUGCAAAGCAAAGCAAAGCAAUGCAAUGCAAUGCAAUGCAAAGCAAAGCAGAGCAAAGCAGAGCAGUGCAGUGCAAAGCAAAGCAAAAGCAAUGCAGAGCAAAGCAGUGCAAAGCAAAGCAGUGCAAAGCAAAGCAAAGCAAUGCAAUGCAGAGCAAAGCAGUGCAAAGCAAAGCAAAGCAAAGCAAUGCAAUGCAAUGCAAUGCAGAGCAAAGCAGAGCAAUGCAAAGCAAAGCAAUGAGCAAUGCAAAGCAGAGCAGUGCAAUGCAGUGCAAUACAAAGCAGUGCAAAGCAAAGCCAUGCAAUGCAGAGCAAAAGCAAUGCAGAGCAAAAGAAACGGAGAGCAAAAGCAACGGAGAGCAAAAGCAAUGCAGAGCAGUGCAAUGCGAUGGAGCUCGGUGCAAAGCAAAGCAAAGCAAAGCAAAGCAAAGCAGUGUCAGUGCAAUGCAACGCAAUGCAACGCAAUGCAAAGCAAUGCAAUGCAAUGCAAAGGAGCUCUGUGCAAAGCAACAAAGUUUCAGUGCAACGCAAAGUGAAGCAAAGCAAAGCAAAGCAGUGUCAGUGCAAUGCAACGCAAUGCAAAGCAAAGCAAUGGAGCUCUAUGCAAUGCAAUGCAAAGCAAAGCAAAGCAAAGCAAUGCAAUGCAAAGGAGCUCUGUGCAAAGCAACAAAGCGUCAGUGCAACACAAAGUGCAGCAAAGCAAAGCAAAGCAAUGCAGUGUCAGUGCAAUGCAACGCAAAGCAAUGCAAUGCAAUGCAAAGCAAAGCAAAGCAAUGCAGUGUCAGUGCAAUGCAAAGCAAUGCAAAGCAAAGCAAAGCAAAGCAAUGCAAAGCAAUGGAGUGUCAGUGCAAUGCAAAGCAAUGCAAAGCAAAGCAAAGCAAAGCAAUGCAAAGCAAAGCAAUGGAGUGUCAGUGCAACGCAAUGCAAUGGAGCUCCGUGCAAAGCAAUGCAAUGCAAUG
rnacentral:lncRNA from 1 species